AUGGCCACCGCGCCGGGCAUCCGCACGGUGGCCGCCGUCUUCGGGCUGCUGCUCCUCGCCUUCGCGCUCUCCUCCACCGUCAUCUACCUCGCCUCCCCGGCCCGCGCCGCCUCCCCCAGCAGCAUCCUCCUCAACCUCCGCCCCUUCGCCGCCCGCUGCCCGCCCGCCCCGCCGCUCCGCGUCUUCAUGUACGACCUCCCCCCGCGCUUCCACGUCGCCAUGAUGGCCUCGUCCAGGAACGGCGGCGGCGCCGAGGGGGGGAACUCCACCGCGUUCCCCGCGUGGCCGCCCUCCGCGGGCGGGAUCAGGCGGCAGCACAGCGUGGAGUACUGGAUGAUGGCGUCCCUUCAGCAGCAGCAGCCAGGAGGAGCGGCGGAGGCCGUCCGGGUGCGGGAUCCGGACGCCGCCGAGGCCUUCUUCGUGCCCUUCUUUUCCUCGCUCAGCUUCAACGUGCACGGCCGCAACAUGACCGACCCCGACACCGAGGCCGACCGCCUCCUUCAGGUGGAACUUAUGGACAUUCUAUGGAAGUCUAAAUAUUGGCAACGAUCUGCGGGACGUGACCAUGUGAUUCCAAUGCAUCACCCAAAUGCUUUUAGAUUUCUGCGAGAUAUGGUGAAUGCAUCUGUUCUUAUAGUUUCAGACUUUGGGAGAUACACAAAGGAACUGGCUUCCUUGAGGAAAGAUGUUGUAGCACCAUAUGUCCAUGUUGUAGAUUCCUUCCUUAACGACGAUGAAUCUGAUCCAUUUGAGGCUCGCCCUACACUGCUUUUCUUUCGGGGGCGUACAGUCAGGAAAGAUGAAGGGAAAAUCCGUGGAAAACUCGCGAAGUUAUUAAAGGGCAAAGAUGGUGUGCGCUUUGAAAAUAGUCUUGCCACAGGUGACGGCAUUAAAAUCUCUACAGAUGGCAUGCGAUCAUCAAAGUUUUGCCUCCAUCCUGCCGGGGAUACUCCUUCGUCAUGCCGGCUGUUUGAUGCCAUUGUCAGUCAUUGCAUUCCUGUGAUUAUCAGCAGCAGGAUCGAGCUCCCUUUUGAGGAUGAGAUUGAUUACAGCGAGUUCUCACUCUUCUUCUCAGUUGAAGAGGCUCUAGAGCCUGAUUACUUGCUCAACCAGCUCAGACAAAUGCCUAAAGAGAAGUGGGUUGAGAUGUGGUCAAAGCUGAAAAACGUCUCUAGUCACUACGAGUUCCAGUAUCCCCCCAGGAAGGACGAUGCUGUGAACUUGAUAUGGCGGCAGGUGAGGCACAAGAUCCCCGCAGUUAACCUUGCGAUUCACAGGAGUAGGAGACUAAAAGUUCCAGACUGGUGGUGA
rnacentral:rRNA from 1 species